UGAUCUCAAGUCAGACAAGAGUACUCGGUGAAUUUAAGCAUAUUAAUCAACCGAAGGAAAAGAAACUAACUAGGAUUCCUUUAGUAACGGCGAGUGAAACAGGAAAAGCUCAAAUUUAAAAUCUCCGCGGCUCCCGCGGCGAGUUGUAAUCUCGAGAGGCGUUUUCUAGGCCAACCCCGGUACAAGUCCGUUGGAAAACGGCAUCAGUGAGGGUGAGAAUCCCGUUCAUGACUGGGUGCACAUUUGGUCUUCCACGAUACGUCUUCAAAGAGUCGGGUUGUUUGGGAAUGCAGCCCAAAAUGGGUGGUAAAUUUCAUCUAAAGCUAAAUAGCGACACGAGACCGAUAGCGAACAAGUACCGCGAGGGAAAGAUGAAAAGAACUUUGAAAAGAGAGUUAAACAGUACGUGAAACCGUUAAAAGGGAAGCGAUUGAAGCUAGCAUUUGCGUUGCGUGAAAUCAGUCGUAAGACUGCCGAACUGUGCGUUGUGCGGUGAGCCAAAAGCCACGGCGGCGUAUUGAGGUGAGGUGUCUUGCGGUGCACUUUUACGUAGCUUUGAGCAGGUCAGCAUCGGUUUGGUUUACUUUGUGCAGCAAACGGCGUGCUGGGAAGGUGAGUUUACUGUCGGUUCGCUGACUUUGAACUGUUAUAGCCCAGUGUCUGCCCGCUGCGCCCCAGACCGAGGUGGUUGCGGCAUGUGUUCUCUUCGGAGGGCUAGCCUCCCUGUUCAAUGGCUGUUCGUGUUGGAUUUAUUGCUAAACGGCAAUGUGUUUGACAUUUGCAGUGGUCAUUGGGUGGGGUUGUGUAUACGUGAAUGCCUAGGAUGCUGACGAAAUGGCUUUAACCGACCCGUCUUGAAACACGGACCAAGGAGUCUAACAUGUACGCGAGUCUUUGGGUGGCAAACCCAUCGGCGCAAUGAAAGUGAAGGCAAGUUCGGCUUGCUGAGGUGAGAGCUUCGUUCUCGGACGUUGUGCAUCAUCGACCGGUCUAGAGAUUUAUCAAAAGAUCUGAGUAAGAGCGUACCUGCUGGGACCCG
rnacentral:ncRNA from 1 species